UGUGCUAGAUACUAAAGGGAUAGGGCAGAGGUGAAGAUGUAGAAAGCUGAAUUUGGAGGAAAUGAGAAAAAGAAUAGGGUUUAGGCCUUGGCUCCUUGUUGAAAAGGAGCCAAAGGAUUAAAUUCUGCUGAUGUGGAUGUUGGAUACUUUGCUGCAAGUGUGGAUAUUUGGGCAUGAAGAGGUUAAGCUGUCUACGCUCUUUUGUUUUGCCCUGCCUCUCCCUUCAGAAGAAGAUUUGCCUAUAAAGUUAUUUUUAGAUGCCUUGUGAGCAAGUUUUGUGGGAAGACAAGCAGCCAGCAGCCCCCGGCGAGCUGCUAAGCCCACCCCUCUCAGCUUACAGCAUGUAAUUAGCAGAUAAUCAUGCCAAAAUCGCAGACUCCAACAGGCUAAUUUUAUCGCAUGUGCUGACAUCGGUAAGCUUGUUGAAAAAAGAAGCACUGGAGCUGAGCAUCCAAAACCCAUCCGUUGUCUUUGCAUUGCCUCCAUGAGCAGCAGCAGGGAUGACAGGCAGGCAGCAAGGUGAAGGAAGACCCGGCGAGCCUUGCGGCACGUAGCUCAGCCUCACCCUUGCUCUGGAGCAGCUGAGGACGUCCGGGAGAGAUUAGCAGAUGCUGUGUUCCCAAGUAGCAUGAAGGAGCUGCCACUCUUCUGAGCUGCUCUUGCUUCUGCUGUUGCUGUGGUGUCGUGUACCUUGGGAGACUGGACACUCCACUGUGGUCUAGGGACUCAUCCUGCAUCCACCGUCACUUUGUGAUUAAUUACUCCACUGUAAAUGCAAUAGGUGCAAGAAGAGACCCUUCAUAAACAUAAAGAGCCGCCCUCUGUUUGUCUCUCCUGUCUUCCAGACCUGUCUCAUCUUCCUUCACCUGCAUCUCAAUCUCCCUCCUCUUCCCACCCUGAUGGAAAGCAAACCUAAUAGAAAAAGUGGUGCUAAUGAUUGUGACCCCACUACUGUUUUAUUUCCAAUUGGCAGCUCAUGCAAGCAGCCCUAUUUUCUGUUCUAAUAGGAAACUUUAUGAUGUACCAAAUUACCCUGUAAUAGCCUGCGCAGAGUUGCCUCC